rnacentral:lncRNA from 1 species
GGCCUACUGAAGCCCCCCAUCUAGCUUCAGAGUUUGUUCUGUUAGGUGACCUAAACUGGGAUAUGCUUAACACCCCGCCAGUCCUACAAUCUAAGCUAGAUGCCCUCAAUCUCACACAAAUCAUCAAGGAACCCACCAGGUACAACCCUAACUCUGUAAACAAGGGCACCCUCAUAGACGUCAUCCUGACCAACUGGCCCUCCAAAUACACCUCCGCUGUCUUCAACCAGGAUCUCAGCGAUCACUGCCUCAUUGCCUGUAUCCGCUACGGAGCCGCAGUCAAACGACCACCCCUCAUCACUGUCAAACGCUCCCUAAAACACUUCUGUGAGCAGGCCUUUCUAAUCGACCUGGCCCGGGUAUCCUGGAAGGACAUUGACCUCAUCCCGUCAGUUGAGGAUGCCUGGUCAUUCUUUAAAAGUAACUUCCUCACCAUUUUAGAUAAGCAUGCUCCGUUCAAAAAAUGCAGAACUAAGAACAGAUACAGCCCUUGGUUCACCCCAGACCUGACUGCCCUCGACCAGCACAAAAACAUCCUGUGGCGGACUGCAAUAGCAUCGAAUAGUCCCCGUGAUAUGCAACUGUUCAGGGAAGUCCGUAACCAAUACACGCAGUCAGUCAGGAAAGCUAAGGCCAGCUUCUUCAGGCAGAAGUUUGCAUCCUGUAGCUCCAACUCCAAAAAGUUCUGGGACACUGUGAAGUCCAUGGAGAACAAGAGCACCUCCUCCCAGCUGCCCACUGCACUGAGGCUAGGUAACACGGUCACCACUGAUAAAUCCAUGAUUAUCGAAAACUUCAAUAAGCAUUUCUCAACGGCUGGCCAUGCCUUCCGCCUGGCUACUUCAACCUCGGCCAACAGCUCCGCCCCCCCCGCAGCUCCUCGCCCAAGCCUCUCCAGGUUCUCCUUUACCCAAAUCCAGAUAGCAGAUGUUCUGAAAGAGCUGCAAAACCUGGACCCGUACAAAUCAGCUGGGCUUGACAAUCUGGACCCUCUAUUUCUGAAACUAUCUUGUCGCAACCCCUAUUACCAGCCUGUUCAACCUCUCUUUCAUCUCGUCUGAGAUCCCCAAGGAUUGGAAAGCUGCCGCAGUCAUCCCCCUCUUCAAAGGGGGAGACACCCUGGACCCAAACUGUUACAGACCUAUAUCCAUCCUGCCCUGCCUAUCUAAGGUCUUCGAAAGCCAAGUCAACAAACAGGUCACUGACCAUCUCGAAUCCCACCGUACCUUCUCCGCUGUGCAAUCUGGUUUCCGAGCCGGUCAUGGGUGCACCUCAGCCACACUCAAGGUACUAAACGAUAUCAUAACAGCCAUCGAUAAAAGACAGUACUGUGCAGCCGUCUUCAUCGACCUUGCCAAGGCUUUCGACUCUGUCAAUCACCAUAUUCUUAUCGGCAGACUCAGUAGCCUCGGUUUUUCGGAUGACUGCC